CCCCUUUCGUUUGCACCCCGGAAGCCCUAUAUCUGGGGGGCCACCCAGCAAUGGGCGGCUAUGGUGAUAAAAUGCCAUCGUAAUAAACCUUUCGGACCCGGGGGCAGUACCCGGCGCCUCCACCACAGCCGUUUGACUUCAAACGGCAGACGCCCGACAGCAGAUUUCCUUAAAUCUGCGAUAGGGCAACUUAGCUGCAAGCGGCUUUGAUGGGGGCGAACUAGGAUCGACGAGGGUGUAAAGGAUGGAGCUUUGCCCGUGAUGGUUCCGACGUUAUCGGGCUAAACAAGUAGUUGCAAAUGACAACUAUGCUCCGGUACGUCUCGCUGCUUAAUGCAGUGCGAAUGCCGAAAUCAAAGUCCUGAGGCUUAGCCGUUUCAGGCGGGGUCCGCCGGCACCUGGCAACAGAAGCCGGCACU
rnacentral:tmRNA from 2 species